GUGCCGGUGCUGUCGCUGGCGACCUGGCGCAGCCCACGCAGGGACUCCUGAGGGUCCUCGAGGCCGGGAGGUCGGGGGUCGGGAGCCAGUUGUCACAUCAUUUAUUGAAAAAGGAAUCUUUUCUCCACCGACUGACAUGAAAUGCUACCAUCGUCGUAAACAACAUUCCGGUAAAUACUUAGCGCUGUCUCUGCUGUGUCCGUCCUGACUCAUGGGGCCGUCUUCUGUUUCUGCAUCAACUAUGACAACUUUACAGCAGGCUGCCUCCCCGAGGCCGUUCAGAAGCAUUCCUCAGUGGGUCCUACACGUUUCCUCUCCCACGUCAAGUUUAGAAGCAGUGUCAGGACCCACAGCAGUCCUGCGGGAGUUUUAAGGGAUGCGCAGAAUUUAUGGGGACAGUUGGGAAAACUGACAUUCAUGUGACUUAGAUUCCUACUACUUGGAAAUGGAUUCUGACUCUCAACGAAUUUAGAGCUUUGGCAGAGUUUUAAAGAUUUCUUUGAUGUCCGACGUGCUCAUUUCUUGGUUUGUUCUUGAGUAUUUUCUGAAUUUUUAUGAAAUCCUCAAAGUUUUUGUUAUAAUGAAUGGGAUACUUUCCCAUAAAAUGUUGUAAUUCUGUAUUGCUGUUCUAAUAAACACUGUUGAUCGAUGUAUAUUGAUGUUACACUUGUGAUUGUAAUAGUUUGUCCGUUCAUUAUUUUGAACUUUUUGGGUAAACAGUCAUAUAAUUAUGCAAGUAAUUAUAGUUGUGUCUCUGCCUUUCUAAUGUUUAUACUUUGUAUAUAUUAUCAGGUUGGCCAAGACUCAAGUAUAAAAUCAAGCGUCUUUCUCUUGUUUCUGACUAAUGGGAAUGAUUCUAAUGCGGGGGUUUCCAAACUGGUGGCCAGGGGGCCAAAUCCAGCCUGUGGUCUCUUCUUGUAGGUGGUUUUAUUGGAACACAGUUAUGCCCAUUCUUCUACGUAUUGUCUGAUGUCUACGUUCAGGCCACAGCAGUAGCGUUAAAUAGUCCGGACAGAGGCAAUAUUGCCCGAAAAACCUAGAAUAUUCACAAUCUGAGCCUUUACAGAAAAGUUUGCUGAUAUCUGUUCUCGUGUAUUAAAGACAAUGUUUGUUACAAGUUAAGGAAGUUUCUGACUGUUUUUAGUUUUCUGAAUAUCUCGUGAUUAUGCGUGCUUUAAAAUUAGGACUAAAUAUUAAAUUGACCUGAUGCUUGUUAGGGGCCUAUCUUUUGAGAUGCCCCAAAGUUCCCCUUUUUUAGUCUCUUCAUGUAGUGAGUUGUACUAACAGAUUCUCUAAUGCUGAACCAUCUUUGCUUUCCAGAGAUUUUACUUGCUCCUGAUGGAUUGGAUUCUGUUAAUACUUUUAUUUUUGGGUGAUUACAUCCCUAUUAUAAAUAAUACGCCAGCAUCACUGUGUGUAGAUGUGUGCGUGUUAUUCUUGCCAUUAGUUUCUCAGGUUUUUGGUUAACUAUUGAUGUGCUUUGGAUCUGUGUCCCCACCCAAAUCUCAUGUUGAAUUGUAAUCCUCAGUGUUGGAGGUGAGGCCUGGUGGAAGGUGGAUGGGUCAUGGGAGUGAAUUUCUCAUGAAUGGUUUAGUACCUUCCACUUGGUACUGUAAUAGUGAGUUCUCGUGAGAUCUGGUCAUUUAAACGUGUGUGGCACCUCCCCGACCCUCCUGCUUUUGCUCUGGCCACGUAAGAUGCAGCAGCUCCCCCUUCACCUUCCGCCAUGAUUGAAGGUUUCCUGAGGCCGCCCCAAAGCUGAGCAGAAGCCGGCAUCAUGCUUCCCGAACAGCCUGCAGAACCGUGAGCCAAUUAAACCUCUUUCCUUAAAAAUCACCCAGUCUCAGGUUUCUCCAUAGCAAUGUGAGAAUGGACUCACACAAUUAUAUAUUACAGAAUGAAUUGUGAUACUUUUGUCUUUUUCUGUGCCUGGAAAUAAUAGUAAUUCUUAGUAAC
ensembl:lncRNA